AUUGAACGCUGGCGGCAUGCUUUACACAUGCAAGUCGAACGGCAGCGCGGGCUUCGGCCUGGCGGCGAGUGGCGAACGGGUGAGUAAUGCAUCGGAACGUGCCCAGUAGUGGGGGAUAGCCCGUCGAAAGCCGGAUUAAUACCGCAUACUACCUGAGGGUGCAAGCGGGGGACCGAAAGGCCUCGCGCUCUUGGAGCGGCCGAUGUCGGAUUAGCUAGUUGGUGGGGUAAAGGCUUACCAAGGCGACGAUCCGUAGCUGGUCUGAGAGGACGACCAGCCACACUGGGACUGAGACACGGCCCAGACUCCUACGGGAGGCAGCAGUGGGGAAUGUUGGACAAUGGGGGCAACCCUGAUCCAGCCAUGCCGCGUGCGGGAAGAAGGCCUUCGGGUUGUAAACCGCUUUUGUUCGGGAAGAAAUCCUCUGGGCUAAUACCCCGGGGGGAUGACGGUACCGGAAGAAUAAGCACCGGCUAACUACGUG
rnacentral:rRNA from 1 species